UUUCCACAUAUUAAGUUCCACAUCCGGAUUCUUUCCAAAUGAUAUCCGACAAAUUCGCAAAAGUAUAAAAGAAAAAAGAACGAAAGUGAGAUUGAGGAAUGUUUUUUAAUUUAUUUAAAAAUUGAAUCGAAUCAAUUGCAUGUUGAUUGCAUACGAUUAUUAGUAGAAAAUAGGUUCAAUUUUGACACCUUGGAGGAUUCAUGCAAAAAUCGUGAUGCAUAUAGCAAAACUCCCUUCCUACAAAGACGAGUGGAACGCGUAUUGAAGGCAUAAGCGAAUAAUUUCGAAACGAUGACAGAGAGAACCUAAUAAUAAUAAUUUUGGAAGUAUAGUCGGGAUAAAGUGAUGAAAAUGUGCCGGGAUCAAGAGAUACUCGAAGGAGCCGACGAUAAACGAUAGGAAGUCAUUUGGGAUUUGAAAGAUCCUUGAAGGAAAUUACGGAAGCGUUAA